rnacentral:rRNA from 1 species
AUUGAACGCUGGCGGCAGGCCUAACACAUGCAAGUCGAGCGGAUGAGAAGAGCUUGCUCUUCGAUUCAGCGGCGGACGGGUGAGUAAUGCCUAGGAAUCUGCCUGGUAGUGGGGGACGACGUUUCGAAAGGAACGCUAAUACCGCAUACGUCCUACGGGAGAAAGCAGGGGACCUUCGGGCCUUGCGCUAUCAGAUGGGCCUAGAUCGGAUUAGCUAGUUGGUGAGGUAAUGGGUCACCAAGGCGACGAUCCGUAACUGGUCUGAGAGGAUGAUCAGUCACACUGGAACUGAGACACGGUCUAGACUCCUACGGGAGGCAGCAGUGGGGAAUAUUGGACAAUGGGCGAAAGCCUGAUCCAGCCAUGCCGCGUGUGUGAAGAAGGUCUUCGGAUUGUAAAGCACUUUAAGUUGGGAGGAAGGGCAGUAAGUUAAUACCUUGCUGUUUUGACGUUACCGACAGAAUAAGCACCGGCUAACUCUGUGCCAGCCGCCGCCGUAACAC